GUGAACGCUGGCGGUCGGCCUAACACAUGCAAGUCGAACGGCAGCACCGUAAGAGCUUGCUCUUACGGGUGGCGAGUGGCGGACGGGUGAGGAAUACAUCGGAAUCUACUUUUUCGUGGGGGAUAACGUAGGGAAACUUACGCUAAUACCGCAUACGACCUACGGGUGAAAGCAGGGGAUCUUCGGACCUUGCGCGAUUGAAUGAGCCGAUGUCGGAUUAGCUAGUUGGCGGGGUAAAGGCCCACCAAGGCGACGAUCCGUAGCUGGUCUGAGAGGAUGAUCAGCCACACUGGAACUGAGACACGGUCCAGACUCCUACGGGAGGCAGCAGUGGGGAAUAUUGGACAAUGGGCGCAAGCCUGAUCCAGCCAUACCGCGUGGGUGAAGAAGGCCUUCGGGUUGUAAAGCCCUUUUGUUGGGAAAGAAAAGCAGCAGGUUAAUACCCCGCUGUUCUGACGGUACCCAAAGAAUAAACACCGGCUAACUUCGU
rnacentral:rRNA from 1 species